rnacentral:rRNA from 1 species
CCUACGGGAGGCAGCAGUGAGGAAUAUUGGUCAAUGGUCGGAAGGCUGAACCAGCCAAGCCGCGUGAAGGACGAAGGUGCCAAGUAUCGUAAACUUCUUUUGUCAAGGGACAAAAUCAGGCACGAGUGCCUGACUGAGUGUACCUGAAGAAAAAGCAUCGGCUAACUCCGUGCCAGCAGCCGCGGUAAUACGGAGGAUGCGAGCGUUAUCCGGAUUUAUUGGGUUUAAAGGGUGCGUAGGCGGACUGUUAAGUCAGCGGUAAAAGCCCGGGGCUCAACCCCGGCCAGCCGUUGAAACUGGCAGUCUAGAGAUGUAGAGAGGUAUGCGGAAUGCGCGGUGUAGCGGUGAAAUGCUUAGAUAUUGCGCAGAACUCCGAUUGCGAAGGCAGCAUGCCGGCGGCAAUCUGACGCUGAGGCACGAAAGCGUGGGUAUCGAACAGGAUUAGAUACCCCAGUAGUC